CGAAAGUGUGAGGGAGCGACGCCGCGUGGAGGAUGAAGUCCUUCGGGAUGUAAACUCCUGUCAGGGGUUACCAAGUUCUGAGGAGCCCCAAAGGAAGUGGCGACUAACUCUGUGCCAGCAGUCGCGGUAAUACAGAGGCCACAAGCGUUAGGCGGAAUCACUGGGCUUAAAGCGUGUGUAGGCGGGCCGUUAAGUGCCUUGUGAAAUCCCCCGGCUCAACCGGGGGAAUGGCUGGGCAUACUGGCGGUCUUGAGCCACCUAGGGGCAGCUGGAACAGACGGUGGAGCGGUGAAAUGCGUAGAUAUCGUCUGGAACGCCAAUGGUGAAAACAGGCUGCUGGGGGUGAGCUGACGCUGAGACACGAAAGCCAGGGGAGCAAACGGGAUUAGAUACCCCGGUAGUCCUGGCCCUAAACGAUGUCCACUAGAUCGCAGUGUCACUGACGGCAUUGUGGUCGAAGCAAAAGUGCUAAGUGGACCGCCUGGGAAGUACGGUCGCAAGGCUA
rnacentral:rRNA from 1 species